CUAGCCCGGGCACACAGCCGCCUAGCUAUGGGGCAGAGGGAGCUGGCGUCUGCUGAGCUCUUCCUCCGCACACACGUGCGGGCAGUUUUGCAGCAGGGAGUUCCAGCCCCAGCUCCGCACUGCAGGAGUAUUUACAAACGAUGCUCCAUUAAUAAAGGGCCCAAUCGUUAGGCCCUCGACCUCCACGGAGUUCAAUGGAAGUUGAGGAGGCUCACCAUUGCCCAGGGGCAGUUUCAAUGGCAAUGAUCUCAGGAGGGGAAAGACCCAUACAGAUAGCAGAAGAAACUGACUAUCUUGAUUCUGCAAUAAGAGCCUCAAGAGCAGACCCCAGCACCUGCAUGUGGCUCCACUGAAGCCAAUGACGCUCCAUGCAGACCAAGAGGCACCUGUGUGAACUUGUUUGUGGGAUCGGGAGUCUAACUGACUAGAUGAGGGAAAUUGAUUAUCCAUAGAAUGCUGUCAAACUAACAAAAUAAACACACUGGAAAAAAUA